rnacentral:rRNA from 1 species
AAUCAACGCUGGCGGCAUGCCUAACACAUGCAAGUCGAACGCGAAAGUUCCUUCGGGAAUGAGUAGAGUGGCGUCCGGGUGAGUAACGCGUGGGUAAUCUGCCUUUGGGUGGGGAAUAACCCAGGGAAACUUGGGCUAAUACCGCAUAAUGCAGCGGCUCGACAUCGAGACAGUUGUUAAAGCCUCUCGCAAGAGGGGCGCCUAAAGAGGAGCCUGCGUCUGAUUAGCAGUUGGUGGGGUAAUGGCCUACCAAGGCUACGAUCAGUAGCUGGUCUGAGAGGACGGCCAGCCACAGUGGCACUGAAACACGGGCCAUACUCCUACGGGAGGCAGCAGUGGGGAAUUUUGCGCAAUGGGCGAAAGCCUGACGCAGCAAUGCCGCGUGAAGGAUGAAAUCCCUCGGGAUGUAAACUUCGUAAGUGUGGGAAGAACACAAUGACGGUCCACACGUAAGCCCCGGCUAACUCCGUGCCAGCCGCCGCAGUAA